rnacentral:lncRNA from 1 species
GAGGAAAAGUUUGAGCGUAUGAAUGUAACUAGUAGUUUAUUAUUAGGCCUGUUUUGAAUUAAUUAAGCAAACGCAAGCCACAUUUUUUUGAAGGAUACAGAUGUGGGAUAAAUCUUUACAUAGUAAAUAAGAAGGAAGGAGGACAAGAGAGCGAUAAAGAGAGAGAGAGAGAGGGAGCGUGCGGGUGGGCAUGUGUUUUUCUAGUUUUCAGUCUCCUUUUCUAGUUUUGCAGUUGUAGUGAUAGAUGAAAUGGCAUUGAUGAAUUUACUCUGGAGUUACGUCACUUUACGAUAAGGCAAAGCCAAAAUACCGACUCAAAUUACAAAACCCGAACCAAAGGAGAAAAGCAAACAAACAAACAGAGUCUCAAUACUAGUUUUUACAGAUUCAAAAGUUAUGGAAAUGUGUUGGUCAACAUAUAAACAAUUUAGAACAAAAAUCAAGAAAAUGAAAACAUCUAAUAGUAUUUUUUUACUUUACAUAUAAGUGUUUAUUAUAGGACUUGUAUUCAAAUUCGUGAGAGGAGUUAAGACAACAAAGAAUGAAAUCUAUAGUUUUGAAUCUUUAAUAUUAUUGAUAGAAAUUGACAAACAUUCAUCGAAGAGUACAAAUAUCUCAAUUUUGGGGAAAUAUAUUUUAGCCUGCCUUUGUGUUGACGGGCCAAAAAUGUAAAAAUAUGUAUUUUUGUAUCAUCUCUCAUCUUAUACAUAACAUUCUAAUAACGUGAGUAGUUUAAAAACAAAAAUCAGAAUUUGUGAUAUAAUUAUUAGAUAUAAAAAAAUAUAUCUCUAACUUAAAAAAAAAAAAACUAUUUUGUCAAGAGUAGAAAACUUACUAUUUUGAUUAUUUUUAAUUUUACUUAUAAUGUUUGAUAUAGAUUUUUGAGACUAUAAAUUCAUAUUAAUUAAUUGUUGAUGUUAAUAUAUAUCUGUAUUUUUAUCUAUGUAUUCAAUUGUGAUUAUUAUAACUAUAUUGUUGUUAAAUUUAAUCGAUUUUCUUCUUUUUUUUGUAUACAUAAAUAUGUUUUCAACAUAUUUAUGAGCUUGAUCGUUUAAUGAAAAUGACACUUUGCAAUAUUUUUAUUACUGUCAGUGUCUAAAGAUGUAUGUAUUAUUUUAAAUCGGG